AGUGAACGCUGGCGGUAGGCCUAACACAUGCAAGUCGAACGGCAGCACAGUAGUGCUUGCUCUUUCGUGUGGCGAGUGGCGGUCGGUUGUGGAUUACUUCGGUAUCUACUUUUUCGUUGUGUAUAACGUUGGGAUACUUACGCUAAUACCGCAUACGACCUACGGGUGAAAGCUGUUGAUCUUCUUACCUUGCUCGACUUAAUGAGCCGAUGUCGGAUUAGCUAGUUGGCGGGGUAAAGUCCCACCAAGGCGACGAUCCGUAGCUGUUCUGAGAGGAUGAUCAGACAAACUGGAACUGAGACACGGUCCAGACUCCUAGGGGAGGCAGCAGAGGGGAAUAUUGGACAAUGGGGGAAAGGAUGAUACAGCCAAACCGCGUGGGAGAAGAAGGCCUACGGGUUGUAAAGCACGUUUGUUGGGAAAGAAAAGCAGCAGGUUAAUAACCCGAUGUACUGACGGUACCAAAAGAAUAAGCACCGGCUAACUUCGUG
rnacentral:rRNA from 1 species